rnacentral:rRNA from 1 species
CAUNCGAGAUAGCCAGCAUGUCUAGUACAUGCCGUAUUAAGGCGAAACCGCGAAUGGCUCAUUAAAUCAGUCAUGGUUCCUUGGAUCGUACCUUACUACUUGGAUAACUGUGGCAAUUCUAGAGCUAAUACAUGCAGCAGAGCUCCGACCUUCGGGGACGAGCGCUUUUAUUAGACCAAAACCAAUCGGACCUCGUGUCCGUCCUUUGUGGUGACUCUGUAUAACUUUGGGCUGAUCGCACGGGCCUGUCCCGGCGACGUAUCUUUCAAGUGUCUGCCUUAUCAACUUUCGAUGGUAGGUUACGCGCCUACCAUGGUCGUAACGGGUAACGGGGAAUCAGGGUUCGAUUCCGGAGAGGGAGCCUGAGAAACGGCUACCACAUCCAAGGAAGGCAGCAGGCGCGCAAAUUACCCACUCCCAGAACGGGGAGGUAGUGACGAAAAAUAACAAUACGGGACUCUUUUGAGACCCCGUAAUUGGAAUGAGUACACUCUAAAUCCUUUAACGAGGAUCCAUUGGAGGGUAAGUCUGGUGCCAGCAACCGCGGUAAUUCCAGCUCCAAUAGCGUAUAUUAAAGUUGUUGCGGUUAAAAAGCUCGUAGUUGGAUCUCAGUUCCAGACGGGUGGUCCGCCUACCGGUGGUUACUGCCUGUUCUGAACAGUCAGCCGGUUUCUCUUGAUGAUCUUCACCGGUUGUCUUGGGUGACCGGCAAGUUUACUUUGAAAAAAUUAGAGUGCUCAAAGCAGGCGUGACGCCUGAAUAAUGGUGCAUGGAAUAAUGGAAUAGGACCUCGGUUCUAUUUUGUUGGUUUUCGGAACACGAGGUAAUGAUUAAGAGGGACAGACGGGGGCAUUCGUAUUGCGACGCUAGAGGUGAAAUUCUUGGACCGUCGCAAGACGAACUACUGCAGNNUUUUUNNUNNGGAAAAANA